rnacentral:misc_RNA from 1 species
GAAGAAAUCUUCCAACAGGCAAAAGAGGAACAAGAAAAAUCUGACCAAGCUUUUACGGAACAGCAGCUAGGAGAGGAAGUGAUGAAUUCAGGGAAGAUAGUUGGCAAUGAUAUCGCAAAAUCAGUUACAGAUUCCAAGCCCACAGGGGGAUCCACAAAAAUUUCUGACCAUCUUGUAAAUGGUUCACCUAGAAAAAAGACCANNNNCUGACUGCAGGUUCAACUGUUCGGGUCAUAUCUGGGACUUUUGCAGAAUUUGAAGGCAGCC